ensembl:lncRNA
AUCAGUGUGUUGCACUGCUGGCACGUCCGUCACGUCGCGUUACGUAAACGUUACGUUACACGCGCAUUCAGUUCAAAUUCAACAACACUUGUAAACAGUGAUGAACUAUUAAUACAUGUGUUGGUUUUAGUUUUAGAAAAAAUUUAGAAAAGCCAACUACGUUUGAAAUAUCAUAACUUUUUUCACGAAUACAGGUGCAGUUCCCCUGUAGACACACGUGGGGGUGCUGUUCUGUCUUGUUGAUGGAGCAUUGAGCGACGAGAAGAAGACUGACGUACCGGCUUUAAAAAAAAGGCGCGGGCGCGGAUCAGAGACGGGUGACUAGUUGUUGAUGCAAUGACACCGAUGGAAGAACUUUUAAAACAUAUUAGGCGUUCAAAUACACACAAGAGCUGAAGGAAAAUUGUGAAAUGGACGCAGAAACGUGGUAUCCUGACGACGACGAUGAAGUGCGCAAAAUGCAACCGUCGCAUGCGUCUGGUGAAAUGCCAUGUCAAGGAUGGGCUGUGGUGAUUUGCCCAAGGUUUGCAGUUGAAGCAACUUGCACAAGGUUGUCACAUUACAUACCAGACUAGUCUCUAACUUUAAUUAGGUAUAAAACAGGUACAUAAGUCACCACUCUAAUCAAUUGGAUUCUACAUUGCUGCAGAAUUAUUUGGUACACUCAGUGACACAUGCAAUGCAACUUCCUAAACGUUAGCAUACAUAUUAGUCAAAUUCCAUACUAAGGCAUAGUUAUACCUCAAGAUGCUUAUAUUUUAUUUUCCCAUUUGAAGGUGUGCAUUGCUGCUGUCAAGCGACUGAGGAAAAGAUGAGGAUUGGUGGUCGUCAUCGAUUUGUUGUUAUUGACAAGAGCAAAUUUGCCCACAAACGAAAGGCAGUGAGAGGACAGGCAAUGAUGCAGAGAGCACAGGGAGAGGAGAAACACCAGGUCCAAUAGAGAGAGGAGAAGAACAGAGGAAAACAUUCUGGGGUUCAUGGCUCCUCUGUGCAAAGCAGGACCUGACUUGGAGGACAAGGAGGCCCUCUGGGCACUACUGUAAAAAGGAGACUCCAUAUGUAGAUAGUUCUUAAUGUGCAAUUGUCUUGUUGUGUUGACAUACUUUUCUUCACUGUUUUCUUAGAUUUAAUAAACUACUAACAC